rnacentral:rRNA from 1 species
UGCAAGUCGAACGCUCUCUUCGGAGAGAGUGGCAGACGGGUGAGUAACACGUGGGAAUCUACCUAUCGGUGCGGAACAACACAUAGAAAUGUGUGCUAAUACCGCAUACGUCCUCAGGGAGAAAGAUUUAUCGCCGAUAGAUGAGCCCGCGCUUGAUUAGCUAGUUGGUGAGGUAAUGGCUCACCAAGGCGACGAUCAAUAGCUGGUCUGAGAGGAUGAUCAGCCACACUGGGACUGAGACACGGCCCAGACUCCUACGGGAGGCAGCAGUGGGGAAUAUUGGACAAUGGGCGCAAGCCUGAUCCAGCCAUGCCGCGUGAGUGAUGAAGGCCCUAGGGUUGUAAAGCUCUUUCAACGGUGAAGAUAAUGACGGUAACCGUAGAAGAAGCCCCGGCUAACUUCGUGCCAGCAGCCGCGGUAAUACGAAGGGGGCUAGCGUUGUUCGGAAUAACUGGGCGUAAAGCGCACGUAGGCGGAUUGUUAAGUUAGGGGUGAAAUCCCAGGGCUCAACCCUGGAACUGCCUUUAAUACUGGCAAUCUAGAGUUCGAGAGAGGUGAGUGGAAUUCCGAGUGUAGAGGUGAAAUUCGUAGAUAUUCGGAGGAACACCAGUGGCGAAGGCGGCUCACUGGCUCGAUACUGACGCUGAGGUGCGAAAGUGUGGGGAGCAAACAGGAUUAGAUACCCUGGUAGUCCACGCCGUAAACGAUG